AACGAACGCUGGCGGCAGGCCUAACACAUGCAAGUCGAGCGCGCCCUUCGGGGUGAGCGGCGGACGGGUGAGUAACCCGUGGGAACGUGCCCUUUUCUACGGAAUAUCCUCGGGAAACUGAGCGUAAUACCGUAUACGCCCUCUGGGGGAAAGAUUUAUCGGAAAAGGAUCGGCCCGCGUUGGAUUAGGUAGUUGGUGGGGUAAUGGCCUACCAAGCCGACGAUCCAUAGCUGGUUUGAGAGGAUGAUCAGCCACACUGGGACUGAGACACGGCCCAGACUCCUACGGGAGGCAGCAGUGGGGAAUCUUAGACAAUGGGGGCAACCCUGAUCGAGCCAUGCCGCGUGAGUGAUGAAGGCCUUAGGGUUGUAAAGCUCGUUCAGCUGGGAAGAUAAUGACGGUACCAGCAGAAGAAGCCCCGGCUAACUCCGUG
rnacentral:rRNA from 1 species